UACGAGUGCCCUAAGCGUUAUCCGGAAUUAUUGGGCGUAAAGGGUGUGUAGGCGGUUGUGUUAGUCUUUUGUUAAAUUCUUCGGCUUAACCGGGGGCAUGCGAAGGAAACGGCACAACUAGAGGAUGCGAGAGGUGAAUGGAACUCAUGGAGUAGGGGUGAAAUCCGUUGAUAUCAUGGGGAACACCAAAAGCGAAGGCAAUUCACUGGCGCACUCCUGACGCUGAGACACGAAAGCGUAGGUAGCGAAU
rnacentral:rRNA from 1 species